CGGGACGUGGCGCAGCCUGGUAGCGCGUCUGCUUCGGGAGCAGAAGGUCGCUGGUUCGAAUCCAGUCGUCCCGACCA
rnacentral:tRNA from 1 species